rnacentral:piRNA from 1 species
UUUGGAGCACAUUAAAAGUGGAGAGAAC